ACCUGGGUGGCUCAGUCGGUUGAGCAUCUGACUUCAACUCAGAUCAUGAUCUGACUUCAACUCAUGAUCUCAUGUUUUGUGAGUUCGAGCCCCGCACUGGGCU
rnacentral:tRNA from 1 species